AGGGUUUGAUUAUGGCUCAGAUUGAACGCUGGCGGCGUGCCUAACACAUGCAAGUCGAACGCGAAAGUCUCUUCGGAGAUGAGUAGAGUGGCGCACGGGUGAGUAACGCGUGGAUAAUCUACCUAUUGGUACGGGACAACAGUUGGAAACGACUGCUAAUACCGUAUAAGCUGGAAACGGGAAAGGGGGCCUCUUCUUGAAAGCUCUCGCCAGUAGAUGAGUCCGCGUUUCAUUAGCUAGACGGUGGGGUAACGGCCUACCGUGGCAACGAUGAAUAGCAGGCCUGAGAGGGUGGCCUGCCACACUGGGACUGGAACACGGCCCAGACUCCUACGGGAGGCAGCAGUGGGGAAUAUUGCGCAAUGGACGAAAGUCUGACGCAGCGACGCCGCGUGGAGGAUGAAGGUUUUCGGAUCGUAAACCCCUGUCAAGAGGGAAGAAACCUAUUAAGAAUAAUACUCUUAGUAAUUGACGGUACCUCUAGAGGAAGCACCGGCUAAUUCAGUGCCAGCAGCCGCGGUAAUACUGAAGGUGCAAGCGUUAAUCGGAAUCACUGGGCGUAAAGCGCUCGUAGGUGGCUUUGUAAGUCAGAUGUGAAAGCCCACGGCUCAACCGUGGAAUUGCAUUUGAUACUGCAUCGCUAGAGUAUAGGAGAGGGAAGUGGAAUUUCUGGUGUAGGAGUGAAAUCCGUAGAGAUCAGAAGGAACACCGGUGGCGAAGGCGACUUCCUGGACUAUUACUGACACUGAGGAGCGAAAGCGUGGGGAGCAAACAGGAUUAGAUACCCUGGUAGUCCACGCCGUAAACGAUGGGUACUAAGUGUCGGAGGCUUGACCUUCGGUGCUGUAGUUAACGCGUUAAGUACCCCGCCUGGGGAGUACGGUCGCAAGGCUGAAACUCAAAGAAAUUGACGGGGGCCCGCACAAGCGGUGGAGUAUGUGGUUUUAAUUCGAUGCAACGCGAAGAACCUUACCCAGGGCUUGACAUCC
rnacentral:rRNA from 1 species